rnacentral:misc_RNA from 1 species
UCCUGCAAUUGUGCCUUGUUGACCAGGAGAAUUGUCAUAUAUCUUCCAAGCAUUUUUAAGUAACUUUAGCGCCUGAUCAAACUCAUUCAUAGAUUGAUAGAUAGCAGAAAUAUCAAUAAAUCCACUGGCCAUCUCUUCUAUAGGAUUCCCAGGAUUGUGUUUUUCAUAAAUUCGAAGCGCAUUUUCGCAAUAAAUUUUAGAAUCCCUGAACUUCCCUAUCCUAUUAUACAAAUCAGCCAAGCGUACGAAAGCUG